rnacentral:rRNA from 1 species
AUACGUAGGGAGCGAGCGUUGUCCGGAAUUACUGGGCGUAAAGGGCGCGUAGGCGGCGCUUCAAGUCGUCUGUCAAAUGGAAGGGCUUAACCCUUUUUCGCAGACGAAACUGGAGAGCUUGAGAAGCAGAGAGGCAAACAGAAUUCCUGGUGUAGCGGUGAAAUGCGUAGAUAUCAGGAAGAAUACCAGUGGCGAAGGCGGUUUGCUGGCUGCAUACUGACGCUGAAGCGCGAAAGCCAGGGGAGCGAACGGGAUUAGAUACCCUGGUAGUCCACGCUGUAAACGAUGAAUACUAGGUGUGGGGGGACUGACCCCCUCCGUGCCGCAGUUAACACAAUAAGUAUUCCACCUGGGGAGUACGAUCGCAAGAUUGAAACUCAAAGGAAUUGGCGGGG